UUUCAUCUUAAAACAUUGAUAAAUUUAAAAGUCGAGAUGGUUUGGAUUUGAUCUUUGCGUUAAAAUUUUUUUUUGCUACUGAAUGAAGUUAAAAAGAGAUGGUUUUGGGUUUUGCUUGUUCAUAAAUGCAAUAGAACAGGGUAGAUUUCUUUGGGCAAUUUCUCCAUAGUGCAAUUUUAAUCAAUUUAUGCACUUGUUGUGCAUUUGAAGCUUGUACAGGAUAAAGAUGGAGAUAAUGUAAAAGUCUAUAGGAAAGCCAAAGGCAACAUCAACCUCUCCCAUCUAAGAAACUUCAAUUCCCUUUACGUACAUGAGGCUUAUGUUUGGAAGGAAAUUAGGUUUAUUUAUUUGCAAAAAACAUUUACAUUAGCAGAGAGUAUUUUCUAUAAAGCAAGUGUUUGAUGAUUUGUCUAAAGGAUCUUCUAGGUGCAAAAUGUUUGAAUUUUCGCAAUGUCCAUAUAGUAGUACAUCAUGUCAUCGAAUUUCAAAUUCCAAGUCCAAACUGGGGUGAUUAAUUUAUUCCAGUGCUGGCAUCAACUGUGAAGAAUUAACCUAAUAACAAACUAGCACAAUAAGUUUCAGUUUCUAAGUAGAAAUUUAGAAGUAUUAAGCUAUUGAGAAGUAACACAUAAUACGGUUGUGCUUCUAAAUGAAAAUAUUAGGAAUAUAAAAAUAUUAAAUUAAAAAAGGAGAAAUUAUUAAAGAGACAGGUAAAAAAAAAUAAUUUGUGUACCGACUAGUGUGCUCAAAUGAUGAUUGUCAGAUUAGAUGAGCAUGAUAAAAUCUGAUUCGUUUCAUAUAUUAGCAUCAUCUGAAUACAAUUUAUUUUUUUGAAUGACGAGCAUGUUCGGCUGAGCUUAAAGUUUACUUAUAAGUAAAUAAGGAUUUUUCUAUGUUUAUUAAAGUUGUAAAUACGUAAGUUACUUAAUUUGAUGAUAAGGUAAGAGUUACUUUAACUUACUUAGUGUUUGAAAACAAAAGGUUACUUAAAAGUGAUUUUAAAUUAUUUUGAAGCUUAGCCAAACGUGCUCCAUAUUGAGACCAGCAGAACCAGACAAAACUAACCUUGAAGGGAGAAGUCCUUGAGGCUAAUAUGACAUAGGUUAUAGGCAUUUCUGGUAAUGUUUGCUUUCCAUAAUUUUACUCCAAGCAGUGCAGCACAAUUUAGAGCUUGCAAGUUGGUGACAAAGCUUUGCCUUUGUAGCUAAGACACAUAGCUCUCCACACCAUUGCAGCAUGCCAUCUAGUUACAUAUUCCAUCACCACAGCCACUUAUGACAGGGCUCACGUUGGGAAAAUUCAGAGGGCAAACUGAUGCAAGAAUUACAUAAUCUCUAAAUAAUUUCAUAAAAAGCAACCGCAAGGUUAAGAAAUGACAAUCGAUAAGAGUUGGACAUUGCAGACUAAUAGGUUGUCACAUGAAUAUAGAAAUGGUAAGUCAUAAUGAUGUUAAAUAUUAUAUUUUAUGAAUUCUAUACAUCAAUUCUAUUUUUUAAACGGAUGGAUCCGCUUACAAAAGAGCUAUCGGGUCACAUCAAGUUUUACUAUGAGAUGAAUUGUAGCAAUGAACGUGGGUGGACAACUAAAGAAGUGGAGUCCCAUUAUGUAAGUAAUUUUACUUGUUAUAAUUGUAAAAUAAAUAUUUCAAAAAUCUAAUAUUUUAUUUAUAAUUUGCAUGGAUCCUCAGAAUCAAAUGAUCAACCUUUUACAAGAACAAAAUUCUCAACUAGAUCCGAAUGAACAACCUAUGCCUUUAGAAGAAUCUGAAAUUCGUGACUAAGUUUUGGGCAAGAGAUUUAUCCACGUUAAUCAACAGAAAAGUUCAAAGAAGACAAUGUUGGAAAAUUGUGAUACUUGUGCAGAGAAUGCUACUUUAUAGAAUGAGGUUCAAGAUCUUCGUUCUCAAUUGAAAUCUGUGCAGAUAUUCUUAAGUCGUAUGUCUGAAGAGUUUCUUUGACAUAUUCAAUCUGAUGCGACUUCAUCCAGUAGCUUAAGUGGUGAUAAUUAAUAUAUUUUUUACUUGAUUUUUGGUGACGUAGUAAUGUUUAUAUAUUUUUAUUUGAUUGAGGCAAUAGUCUCUAACUCUACAUCUAUUUUUUUUAUUUAUUAUUAUUAUUAUUAUUUUUUAUGUUGAGAACAUAAUGAUUGAAUUGGAUGUAUUUUUUGUCUAAGUCAUGAUAUUUGAUAUAAUUAACAUCUAGUUGUAGAUGAUGUUGGAAUAUUUUAAUUGAUUGAAGGUCCAAGAAAAUUUUAGUUCUUGUUUAUGUUCUUUAUACUUGGAUUCAUUUACUUCUUAUAAUUGUUUAUAGUUGUGAACAAAGUUUAUUCGUAGUAUGACGUGAAUGUGUAAAAGUUAUAGAAUCAUGAAUAUUACCACUGACGAUCAUAGUUCUCGUUAUUUUAAUAUUUUGAUUGUUAAUAUAAACGUUUUACAACCGCUUCUUUCGUUGUUGAAAAUUAAGGCAACUAAAUUUUAGUUGUUUCAACAAUAUUUUACACACACAUAUAAUUAAUGCAACGACAAAUCAAGCAGUUGUUGAAAUAAAUUUAAUUAGUUGUCUAUACUAAUUUUUAACAAGUAUUUCUUUUGUUGUUGAAAUGAAAGACAACUAAAAUUUGGCUGCUUUUAUUGUAUUUUAACGACAAAAAUAGUUAUUAAACAACCAAACAAUUCGUUGUUGAAAAAUAUAAUCAAUUGUCAAUACAAACCUUUUACGACCAAUUAUUUAGUUGCUAAAAUAAUACAGUUAAUGAUCAAAUGUAUUUUUAGUCGUUGAAUAUAAUCGCCAACACCUCUUUGCUGACCAACAAACGACCAACUGAUGUUAGUCGUUGAAUGUGAUCAACAACCAAAAAUGUACAUUCUACGACCAUUUAUAUGAUUGUUGAAGGUGAUAUUUCCUGUGGUGCUUAAAUGUCUUUUAUUUUUAUUAAAAUCUGAAACUUUUGUAGAACGAAAAUGAAUAGAAGCAAGAAAUGAUGGAGAAGCUCUCUAGAAAAUUGCGAAAAUCUUGUCGAGCAUCUCAAUUCAAUGACAACAACAAUUUCUCUCUACUUGCUGCGACAAUGGCCAUCUGAGUGACACCCAAGAGUAAGAGUAGCUUUUUCGAUCUUUCGAGAAGAAUCUAGCUCAGCCGGUCUUUUCUUUGGAAGUUAUGACAUUAUCAUGCAUACUUCAUAUACGAGGUUGAUUCGUGGAGCAUCAGGUCUGCAGGUUUGGUUCUUCCUCUUAAUUUUGUAUUUCCAUUUUCUUGAUAGGUGAGUUUGUAGUCCAUGUAUUGCAUACUGGGAAUGAUGUUAUGAGUUCACUACUCAAAUGGAUUUUGUUUGUUACUAUUUUCAUCGGCAGCAUUGCCUUGAAAAUCAUUUUUUUGUUUUAAUUUAUUUCAACCGUCGCGGUAAUUUCUUAUCGCUAUAUGCUUAGUCACUAAAGUUUAAUUAAGUUUUCUUAUAAUUUUUGUUGCAUAAAUUAUUUAUAUAUAUGCUUUCUCAUACUAUUCAUGCAAUUUAACUCUCCCAGUUGAUGCUUCCUAAAUAAAUCUAUGGAAAAUAUGCAAAGAAAGAUAUUGAAUAACCAAUUCAAUCUGUCAACGAAAGUACAAAUUCUUAUUCUUGUCUUUAAAAGAUUAAGGUUGCUUUGCAUUCUAUGCUUCCCUCUAUUAACUUCAGAAUUCAAACAAAGCAAUGUCAAGGUCUUGUGCAAUGAUCACAUUUUUUUCUUGGUGGUUUAGGAGGAGAGAAGAUCUCUUGAACUAUGUUUAGGUGUUUGCCUACCUACGGAUUAUGAUUAUCUUCCAUCAAUUAGCAAGAACACAUUCCAUUAAAUAUCUUAUUAUUCAUUUCCACUCUGAUUGAGUUUACAUCCAUGCUACAGAUAGGCAAAGUUUAAGUGGGAUAUCUCACGGCUUCCUUUUGGGCCAUUGAGGUAAACUAUAGUUUGAACUUCGUUUCAACAUAUAGUUAUUAACACAUGGUAUAAUAGAUUUAUUGAGGUAAGCAUUGAUUCUAAAUAGUAUUGGAUCUGGGAUCUGCCUUUAUGUGGAUCAUGUACUCAAAGAGUCGUUUGAAGAAGUGGGGGAAGUUCGGGAAUACAUGUAUGCUUAAUGCUUUCAAGGCAAGCUAACAACCACACUCUUACUGAGUUCAGCGAGAAUGGAUGGUGACAUAUACAGUGGUCAUUGAAGUUCUCAAGCAUAAAGGAUACAUUUCUGAAGAUUGAGACUGGUGAAAGUCCAAAUGACAGGAAUGAUAAAAUUCUGUUCUCUACGUUGUCAUUAAAAUGACAACUUUUAUCUGUUUCUUGGGGCCUUUUCCACACUGAGAUUUUGAAUUGUGAUUUUGUUGGAUUUUUUUGGCAAAAUUUAAAACUAUUGUCAAAGAGAACUUAAUUCAGAAAUUUGAUCUCAUCAAUCGAUACUCUAAGCCUCGUUUUAACAGCUAAACAUGCAAAAUAUUGAUGUUAAUUUUGUUUUUUUUUUCAAAAAAUAGAGAAUAAAUAUGCAUGUACGA